UAGGGAAUCUUCCGCAAUGGACGCAAGUCUGACGGAGCAACGCCGCGUGAGUGAAGAAGGAUUUCGGUUCGUAAAACUCUGUUGUUAGAGAAGAACAGCGCAUAGAGUAACUGUUAUGCGUGUGACGGUAUCUAACCAGAAAGCCACGGCUAACUACGUGCCAGCAGCCGCGGUAAUACGUAGGUGGCAAGCGUUGUCCGGAUUUAUUGGGCGUAAAGCGAGCGCAGGCGGUCAAUUAAGUCUGAUGUGAAAGCCCCCGGCUCAACCGGGGAGGGUCAUUGGAAACUGGUUGACUUGAGUGCAGAAGAGGAGAGUGGAAUUCCAUGUGUAGCGGUGAAAUGCGUAGAUAUAUGGGAGAACACCAGUGGCGAAGGCGACUCUCUGGUCUGUAACUGACGCUGGGGCUCGAAAGCGUGGGUAGCAAACAGG
rnacentral:rRNA from 1 species